rnacentral:misc_RNA from 1 species
GAUGAAGAACGCAGCGAAUUGCGAUAAGUAAUGUGAAUUGCAGAUUUUCAGUGAAUCAUCGAAUCUUUGAACGCACCUUGCGCUCCCUGGUAUUCCGGGGAGCACGCCUGUUCGAGUGUCGCGAAAUUCUUCAAGCCUUGGAUGGAUUUUUUUUUGUCUGUCCUUGGGCUUGGUUGUUGGGCUCUGCCGUGUCCUUCAUUGGGACGGCUGGCCUUAAAAGCAUUAGCCGAUCCUCGUGUGGUACUGGUUCUACUCAGCGUGAUAACAAUCUGAUCGUUGAGGACAUCUUCUGGAUGGCCAGUCAUCAUUUGGGUUGCUUCUAAACCGGUUUCGCAGAUUGCUCAAUCUGUGUGCCACUUUUCAGCUUUGACCUCGAAUCAGGUGGGACUACCCGCUGAACUUAAGCAUAUCAAUAAGCGGAGGA